AACCACAGCCAUAUCACCCUGCAGCCCAAGACCGGUUACUCACUGAAGCUAAGCAGGGCUGAGCCUGAUCAGUACCUGGAUGGGGGAACACUAGGUUGCUGUUGGAA
rfam:Danio rerio chromosome 9, GRCz11 reference primary assembly.